UCCCUUUUCGACCCGUGCGAGUCUCACCACUGCGUGUCACACCGCGGGUGUGUGUGUGUUGAAUCUAAAGUUUUGCAACAUUAAAAGUUUAUUUUAAGGCAAUCACUAAUCAUAUAUAUAUAUAUAUAUAUAUAUAUAUAUAUAUAUAUGUGAUUAGAUGUAACUGGUUAAACUUAAAGCCGAUAUUUUCUAUCGAACUAGUCUAUUUUCUGUUCAGACACAAAGUUUUCUGAUGGUGAUAUUAUGACAGUGUGUGUUUGUGUGGGGGUCGUGUGAUGUAAUCUUUGAAAGUUUAUGACCGAACCUUUAUUGGGGAGCGACAAGAGAGCUCCGGCAUCAGUUUGGAUGGAGCAGAGCUGUUAUACUCAAGUCUAUUGCGAAAUUGUCUAAACUGGUAUUAACUAUUCCUGGUAAAUCGCGGAGAAGAGUGGAAUGAACAAAAAAGUCAGACCGUGACUAGAACCACCAGCAGCGUAACAAGGAAAUCUUGGAGCAAAGAGACGCCGAGUGGCUCGUGUUGUCCGGUUUGGAUAUCAGCGGCAAAGCGAACGUUGCGUGUACUAUUGCAAAAUAUAUAGC